rnacentral:sRNA from 1 species
GCUGGGUGUGGUGGUGCAUGCCUGUAAUCCCAGCAGCUCAGGAGGCUGAGGCGCGAGAAUUGGGAGUUCAAAGUCAGCCUCAGCAAAAGCGAGGUGCUAAGCAACUCUGUGAGACCCUGUCUCUA